GCUUGAUUUCCCUUCUUAUGGAUGCCAGACCGCUCCCCAUUAUUGUUCAUUCUGGCGAUUUGCAUGAUGUGACGUCCGGUCGCUGCAAAUCACCAUUAUACUUACCUUCUACACAGGGGAACGAUUACCUGGUCCUCCCCUACCUGUAGCUGUAUUUUCGAAGGGAGCCGUAGUCUUGGUGGUCCACAUCCUGGUCAAGGCGGUAAAGAACCAACCUCGGGAGAAGUUCCCAUGUUUUUCUCGAACGUUUUGGUUCUCACAAACGAUUUGGUUCAAACAAACUGACUGCUGUAAAUAUCGUUGUUCGUCCUGCGAAUGGACCCCUCAGAGCCCGCCAGUGGGAGACUGACAAUCGUGAGUAACCUAGCCUUUCGGGACUCAUGCGCUUCGUUCGGCAUUUAAAUUGUCAUACGCACAUUUCACUUGUUCCAUUAUCUAACACCACAAAAU